UGCGUAGGCGGAUUAAUAAGUCAGUGGUGAAAACCUGCAGCUUAACUGUAGACUUGCCAUUGAUACUGUUAGUCUUGAGUAUGGUCAAGGUAGGCGGAAUGUGUAAUGUAGCGGUGAAAUGCUUAGAUAUUACACAGAACACCGAUUGCGAAGGCAGCUUACUGGGCCAUUACUGACGCUGAGGCACGAAAGCGUGGGGAGCGAACAGGAUUAGAUACCCUGGUAGUCC
rnacentral:rRNA from 1 species